UACAGAGGUCUCAAGCGUUGUUCGGAUUCAUUGGGCGUAAAGGGCGCGUAGGCGGCGGGGUAAGUCGGGUGUGAAAUCUCAGAGCUCAACUCUGAAACUGCACUCGAUACUGCUCUGCUUGAGGACUGGAGAGGAGACUGGAAUUUACGGUGUAGCGGUGAAAUGCGUAGAUAUCGUAAGGAAGACCAGUGGCGAAGGCGGGUCUCUGGACAGUUCCUGACGCUGAGGCACGAAGGUCAGGGGAGCAAACGGG
rnacentral:rRNA from 1 species